UACAGUAGGAGGUCAUUACAGUUGAAAGUCAUUACAGUUGGAGGUCAUUACAGUGGGAGGUCAUUACAGUAGGAGGUCAUUACAGUUGAAAGUCAUUACAGUUGGAGGUCAUUACAGUUGGAGGUCAUUACAGUUGGAGGUCAUUACAGUUGGAGGUCAUUACAGUGGGAGGUCAUUACAGUUGGAGGUCAUUACAGUGGGAGGUCAUUACAGUUGGAGGUCAUUACAGUGGGAGGUCAUUACAGUAGGAGGUCAUUACAGUUGGAGGUCAUUACAGUGGGAGGUCAUUACAGUUGGAGGUCAUUACAGUGGGAGGUCAUUACAGUUGGAGGUCAUUACAGUUGGAGGUCAUUACAGUUGGAGGUCUAUACAGUUGGAGGUCAUUACAGUGGGAGGUCAUUACAGUUGAAGUUCUAUACAGUUGGAGGUCAUUACAGUUGGAGGUCUAUACAGUUGGAGGUCAUUACAGUUGGAGGUCAUUACAGUUGGAGGUCUAUACAGUUGGAGGUCAUUACAGUUGGAGGUCAUUACAGUUGGAGGUCAUUACAGUUGGAGGUCUAUACAGUGGAGGUCAUUACAGUUGGAGUACUAUACAGUGGGAGGUCAUUACAGUUGGAGGUCAUUACAGUUGGAGGUCAUUACAGUUGGAGGUCAUUACAGUUGGAGGUCAUUACAGUGGGAGGUCAUUACAGUGGGAGGUCAUUACAGUGGGAGGUCAUUACAGUUGGAGGUCAUUACAGUGGGAGGUCAUUACAGUUGGAGGUCAUUACAGUUGGAGGUCAUUACAGUUGGAGGUCAUUACAGUUGGAGGUCAUUACAGUGGGAGGUCAUUACAGUGGGAGGUCAUUACAGUGGGAGGUCAUUACAGUUGAGAGGUCAUUACAGUUGGAGGUCAUUACAGUGGGAGGUCAUUACAGUGGGAGGUCAUUACAGUUGGAGGUCAUUACAGUGGGAGGUCAUUACAGUUGGAGGUCAUUACAGUGGAGUGCAGCAGAAUGAGCAGACCUUGUUGUGUCCCAAAUGGUGCUCUCUGGCCUUAUUAGUGCACUACUUUGACCAGGGCCCAUAAGGUUCUGCUCAAAACUAGUGCUCUGCAAAAGGGGGAAAGAGGGCCAUUUGGGAUUCACAUUCUAUGUCUCAGACAGACAUGUUCUCAGGGUGGGAAUGUGGUCCCACUGUAGCCUGGUUAAACCCACACUGACUGCUCGGUUCACCAUCCAGCCUGCUGAAACCAGGAACCUAGGUAGUCCCAACAGAACUAAUGAGAUCACCUCGUCCAGACAUGACAGGCCACUCGAGUUUGUCAUCUGUAACAACUAUAGGCCAAUUUAAUGUUAGCGAUGUAGCAUUUCUCAAUGUGUCCAUUCAUCCGUAAUGCUUCGUCAUCAUCGUCAUCAACAGGGUCUGUACAAAACAGGCUCUGUUAUACACUGGAGAAUAUGACACGCCCCCCCUCUGACCUAGCAGUGAUGUCAUCCAUAAUUCUACUGCUGCAGUGGAGAGGGAAG